GCGCACCAGGCGCGAAAACUUCACACUGUGCGAAAGCACGAUGAGGGAAUCCCAAGUGCUUGCACGUAAGUGUAAGCUGUUUCUCUGUUUAAAACGCAGAGAGAGUAAGGGCUGGGUAAGACGGGUGCCAGCCGCCGCGGUAAUACCUGCAGCUCAAGUGGUGACCGUUAUUAUUGGGCCUAAAACGUCCGUAGCCGGUUUAAUAAAUGCCUGGGUAAAUCGUGUAGCUUAACUAUACGAAUUCCGGGUAGACUGUUAAACUCGAGACCGGGAGAAGUUAGAGGUACUCCUGGGGUAGAGGUGAAAUUCUGUAAUCCUAGGGGGACCACCAGUGGCGAAGGCGUCUAACUAGAACGGGUCUGACGGUGAGGGACGAAGCCCUGGGGCGCAAACGGGAUUAGAUACCCGCGUAGU
rnacentral:rRNA from 1 species